rnacentral:rRNA from 1 species
AUUGAACGCUGGCGGCAGGCCUAACACAUGCAAGUCGAACGGUAGCACAGAGAGCUUGCUCUCGGGUGACGAGUGGCGGACGGGUGAGUAACGUCUGGGAAACUGCCCGAUGGAGGGGGAUAACUACUGGAAACGGUAGCUAAUACCGCAUAACGUCGCAAGACCAAAGUGGGGGACUUUCGGGCCUCUCACUAUCGGAUGAACCCAGAUGGGAUUAGCUAGUAGGCGGGGUAACGGCCCACCUAGGCGACGAUCCCUAGCUGGGCUGAGAGGAUGAACAGCCACACUGGAACUGAGACACGGUCCAGACUCCUACGGGAGGCAGCAGUGGGGAAUAUUGCACAAUGGGCGCAAGCCUGAUGCAGCCAUGCCGCGUGUAUGAAGACGGCCUUCGGGUUGUAAAGUACUUUCAGCGGGGAGGAAGGCGAUGUGGUUAAUAACCGCGUCGAUUGACGUUACCCGCAGAAGAAGCACCGGCUAACUCCGUGCCAGCCGCCGCAGUAA